AUUAGACGAAUCAUCUGGAAAGAUGAAUCAAAGAAGGUAAUAAUCCUGUAGUCGAAAAUGUUGUCUCUCUUGAGUGGAUCCUGAGUACGACGGAGCACGUGAAAUUCCGUCGGAAUCUGGGAGGACCAUCUCCUAAGGCUAAAUACUCUCUAGUGACCGAUAGUGAACCAGUACCGUGAGGGAAAGGUGAAAAGCACCCCGGAAGGGGAGUGAAAUAGAACCUGAAACCGUGUGCUUACAAGUAGUCAGAGCCCGUUAAUGGGUGAUGGCGUGCCUUUUGUAGAAUGAACCGGCGAGUUACGAUUUGAUGCAAGGUUAAGCAGUAAAUGUGGAGCCGUAGCGAAAGCGAGUCUGAAUAGGGCGUUUAGUAUUUGGUCGUAGACCCGAAACCAGGUGAUCUACCCUUGGUCAGGUUGAAGUUCAGGUAACACUGAAUGGAGGACCGAACCGACUUACGUUGAAAAGUGAGCGGAUGAACUGAGGGUAGCGGAGAAAUUCCAAUCGAACCUGGAGAUAGCUGGUUCUCUCCGAAAUAGCUUUAGGGCUAGCCUCAAGUGAUGAUUAUUGGAGGUAGAGCACUGUUUGGACGAGGGGCCCCUCUCGGGUUACCGAAUUCAGACAAACUCCGAAUGCCAAUUAAUUUAACUUGGGAGUCAGAACAUGGGUGAUAAGGUCCGUGUUCGAAAGGGAAACAGCCCAGACCACCAGCUAAGGUCCCAAAAUAUAUGUUAAGUGGAAAAGGAUGUGGCGUUGCCCAGACAACUAGGAUGUUGGCUUAGAAGCAGCCAUCAUUUAAAGAGUGCGUAAUAGCUCACUAGUCGAGUGACACUGCGCCGAAAAUGUACCGGGGCUAAACAUAUUACCGAAGCUGUGGAUUGUCCUUUGGACAAUGGUAGGAGAGCGUUCUAAGGGCGU
rnacentral:rRNA from 1 species